AGCAGUGUGGCUCAGUGGAAAGAGCACGGGCUUGGGAGUCAGAGGUCAUGAGUUCAAAUCCCAGCUCUGCCA
rnacentral:tRNA from 1 species